rnacentral:snRNA from 1 species
AUACUUACCUGGACGGGAUCGAUGGGUGAUCAAUAAAGCCCAUAGUCUAGACUAAUGGCCCACAUUGCACUUAGUGGAUGCAUUGACCUACCAUCUCCCUCCCCAAACAGGAGUGUGGAUGUCAUAAUUUGUGGUAGAAGGGAUACGCCUACCAUCUCCCCAAACGAGAGAGUGGAUGUCAUAAUUUGUGAUAGAGUGGGUAUGCGUUCGCGCGGCCCCUAU